rnacentral:rRNA from 1 species
AUUGAACGCUGGCGGCAUGCUUUACACAUGCAAGUCGAGCGGUAACAGGCCUUCGGGUGCUGACGAGUGGCGAACGGGUGCGUAAUGCAUCGGAACGUACCCAGAGGUGGGGGAUAACGCAGCGAAAGCUGUGCUAAUACCGCAUGUGAUCUGAGGAUGAAAGCGGGGGACCGAGAAGCAAUGUUUGGCCUCGCGCCUUUGGAGCGGCCGAUGUCGGAUUAGCUAGUUGGUGGGGUAAAGGCCUACCAAGGCGACGAUCCGUAGCUGGUCUGAGAGGACGACCAGCCACACUGGGACUGAGACACGGCCCAGACUCCUACGGGAGGCAGCAGUGGGGAAUUUUGGACAAUGGGCGCAAGCCUGAUCCAGCAAUGCCGCGUGCGGGAAGAAGGCCUUCGGGUUGUAAACCGCUUUUGGCAGGAACGAAACGGUGUCCGCUAAUACCGGGCGCUAAUGACGGUACCUGCAGAAUAAGCACCGGCUAACUACGUG